rnacentral:rRNA from 2 species
AUUCCCCUAGUAACUGCGAGUGAAGCGGGAAAAGCUCAAAUUUGAAAUCUGGCGGUCUUUGGCCGUCCGAGUUGUAAUCUAGAGAAGUGUUACCCGUGCUGGACCGUGUACAAGUCUCCUGGAAUGGAGCGUCAUAGAGGGUGAGAAUCCCGUCUCUGACACGGACUACCAGGGCUUUGUGGUAUGCUCUCAAAGAGUCGAGUUGUUUGGGAAUGCAGCUCAAAAUGGGUGGUAAAUUCCAUCUAAAGCUAAAUAUUGGCGAGAGACCGAUAGCGAACAAGUACCGUGAGGGAAAGAUGAAAAGAACUUUGGAAAGAGAGUUAAACAGUACGUGAAAUUGCUGAAAGGGAAACGCUUGAAGUCAGUCACAUUGACCAGGGAUCAGCCUUGCGUUCGCGCAUGGUGUACUUUCUGGUUGAUGGGUCAGCAUCAAUUUCGACCGCUGGAAAAAGGCUUGGGGAAUGUGACAGCUCUGGCUGUGUUAUAGACCCUUGUCAUAUGCAGCGGUUGGGAUUGAGGAACGCAGCACGCCGCAAGGCCGGGUUUCGACCACGUUCGUGCUUAGGAUGCUGGCAUAAUGGCUUUAAGCGACCCGUCUUGAAACACGGACCAAGGAGUCUAACAUGCCUGCGAGUGUUUGGGUGGAAAACCCAAGUGCGUAAUGAAAGUGAAAGUUGAGAUCCCUGUCGUGGGGAGCAUCGACGCCCGGACCAGAACUUUUGGGACGGAUCUGCGGUAGAGCAUGUAUGUUGGGACCCGAAAGAUGGUGAACUAUGCCUGAAUAGGGUGAAGCCAGAGGAAACUCUGGUGGAGGCUCGUAGCGAUUCUGACGUGCAAAUCGAUCGUCAAAUUUGGGUAUAGGGGCGAAA